rnacentral:rRNA from 1 species
GACGAACGCUGGCGGCGUGCUUAACACAUGCAAGUCGAACGGAAAGGCCCUGCUUGCAGGGUACUCGAGUGGCGAACGGGUGAGUAACACGUGGGUGAUCUGCCCUGCACUUCGGGAUAAGCCUGGGAAACUGGGUCUAAUACCGGAUAGGAGCCAUUUUUAGUGUGAUGGUUGGAAAGUUUUUUCGGUGUAGGAUGAGCUCGCGGCCUAUCAGCUUGUUGGUGGGGUAAUGGCCUACCAAGGCGGCGACGGGUAGCCGGCCUGAGAGGGUGGACGGCCACAUUGGGACUGAGAUACGGCCCAGACUCCGACGGGAGGCAGCAGGGGGGAAUAUUGCACAAGGGGCGCAAGCCUGAUGCAGCGACGCCGCGUGGGGGAGGACGGCCUUCGGGUUGUAAACUCCUUUCGCUAGGGACGAAGCUUUUUGUGACGGUACCUAGAUAAGAAGCACCGGCUAACUACGUG